ACGGGAUGGCAAAGUCCACAUAGUGCAGAGGAGAAUUGUUACAGAGCAAUGCUAGAUGAAGGAGCUGAGGCUGGAGAAGUUAAGAGACCCCUGCUAGAUAGGAAGGCACGUGAGAAGUAUACUGCUCUGUCUCCUGUGGAGUAAAAAGACUUUGGCGUUCUCAGAAGAAAACCAAAUGAGAUCACACGAAUGAGACUGCUGGAGCAAUCUAAUGCAAAUAUCUACUACAGAUUAUCAAAAGGAAAAAAAAAGGAGGGGAUAGGGAAGCUUAAGGGAGGAGUGCUGUGAAGAAUGUUGUCAUUUCUUCUGGACUGCUACUAAGUAAAAGUUAUCUUCUCACCUCACUCACCAAUUCCUGCCUUAGUACCACAGCAAUUAUCUUUGCCUAAACACAUUAACGGGGAAAAAUGUUCAGGCUUUUGGAGAAGAGCUACAAGUGGUGGACGGUGGCCACAGUGAAGAGUGGGGUAACUUAGACUAAACACUAUAGGAGCCAUCAGAAGAAAUUUUUCCAAACUGCAGCUUAUUACAUGGGUCACACAAGGACAGUUUGCAGCAUAAGGACAGCUAGCUGCUUAUACAAGAACAUGUGCCUGACACAGUCUCACAAGCCCAGUCCAAAACUACAAGGGCCUAACUGUAACUCCAGGAUUACAAGUCCUACCUAAUAACUAUUGACACUCGCCAGUCAGAACUCACCAGCUCUUUUGUUGCUGCCAGCACCAAUAAGCUUUCUUCCAAAACCAACGCAUAGCCUCCGCCUUUCCCAAUAAACUCUAACCUUUUCCUU
rnacentral:lncRNA from 10 species